GACGAACGCUGGCGGCGUGCCUAAUACAUGCAAGUCGAACGAGUGGCGGACGGGUGAGUAAUGUCUGGGAAACUGCCUGAUGGAGGGGGAUAACUACUGGAAACGGUAGCUAAUACCGCAUACCAUCAGAUGUUCCCAGAGGGGAUUAGCAAGUAGUGGGGGUACCGGCUCACCUAGGCGACGAUCCCUAGCUGGUCUGAGAGGAUGACCAGCCACACUGGAACUGAGACACGGUCCAGACUCCUACGGGAGGCAGCAGUGGGGAAUAUUGCACAAUGGGCGCAAGCCUGAUGCAGCCAUGUCGCGUGUGUGAAGAAGGCCUUCGUGUUGUAAAGCACUUUCAGCGGGGAGGCGUUACCCGCAGAAGAAGCACCGGCUAACUCCGUGCCAGCAGCCGCGGUAAUUC
rnacentral:rRNA from 1 species